rnacentral:snRNA from 1 species
UUAGCUCUCUUUGCCUUUUGGCUUAGAUCAAGUGUAGUAUCUGUUCUUUCUAGUUUAAUCUCUGGAAGGCCUCUAAGGAGGCUAACUUUGAUUAUCCCCAUUUUUGGCACUCGGUCGCCGGCUCCUCUGUGCAUUGCACAUGGGCUUGACCACUGUGUCCCUGGUAUUACACUGCCUCCAGGUGACGCGAACACAU